GCGGGGAUGCCUUAGCUUGGUCAAUAGGGCGGGGCUUAGGACCCUGUGGUCAGUCCUUCGAGGGUUCAAAUCCCUCUCCCCGCA
rnacentral:tRNA from 1 species